UACGUAGGGAGCGAGCGUUGUCCGGAUUUACUGGGUGUAAAGGGUGCGUAGGCGGCUUGGCAAGUCAGUAGUGAAAUCCAUGGGCUUAACCCAUGAACUGCUAUUGAAACUGUCGAGCUUGAGUGAAGUAGAGGUAGGCGGAAUUCCCGGUGUAGCGGUGAAAUGCGUAGAGAUCGGGAGGAACACCAGUGGCGAAGGCGGGUUCCUGGACAUUAACUGACGCUGAGGCACGAAGGCCAGGGGAGCGAAAGGG
rnacentral:rRNA from 1 species